rnacentral:rRNA from 1 species
UACGUAGGGUGCAAGCGUUGUCCGGAAUUAUUGGGCGUAGAGAGCUUGUAGGCGGUUUGUCGCGUCUGCUGUGAAAAUCCGGGGCUCAACCCCGGACUUGCAGUGGGUACGGGCAGACUAGAGUGUGGUAGGGGAGACUGGAAUUCCUGGUGUAGCGGUGGAAUGCGCAGAUAUCAGGAGGAACACCGAUGGCGAAGGCAGGUCUCUGGGCCAUUACUGACGCUGAGACGCGAAAGCGUGGGGGAGCGAACAGG